rnacentral:rRNA from 1 species
UCGGGAAUUUUGCGCAAUGGGCGAAAGCCUGACGCAGCAACGCCGCGUGAGGGAUGAAGGCCUUCGGGUUGUAAACCUCUUUUCUCAGGGACGAUUGUGACGGUACCUGAGGAAGAAGCCACGGCUAACUACGUGCCAGCAGCCGCGGUAAUACGUAGGUGGCAAGCGUUGUCCGGAUUUACUGGGCGUAAAGAGCGCGCAGGCGGUCGUACAAGUCCCGUGUGAAAGCCCCCGGCUCAACUGGGGAGGGUCACGGGAUACUGUUCGACUCGAAGGCAGGAGAGGGAAGCAGAAUUCCCGGUGUAGUGGUGAAAUGCGUAGAUAUCGGGAGGAAUACCAGUGGCGAAGGCGGCUUCCUGGCCUGUUCUUGACGCUGAGGCGCGAAAGCUAGGGUAGCAAAC